rnacentral:lncRNA from 1 species
CCCCUUCGCUUGGUUCUCACUCUCUCUUUGCCUGCUGCCAUCCAUGUUAAGAUAUGACUUGCUCCUCGUCUUCCGCCAUUAUUGUGAGGCCUCCCCAGCCAUGUGAAACUAGUUUUGCUCUUUUUGCCCAGGCUGCAAUGGCGUGAUCUUGGCUCACCGCAACCUCCGCCUCCCGGAUUCAAGCGAUUCUCCUGCCUCAGCCUCCCAAGUAGCUGGAAUUACAGAUAAAUGUUUCAGAAUGCUGCCACCAACCAUCCUGCAACCAUGAGUGGCAAGCCCAAGACCAAAAACCAAAUAUUGAGGAUGGCAAAGAAAAAAGAAAGAGACUGGACUGUUGGGGACAUCACUGAGCCACUUUGCCAAACCUGGAGUUGCCUACCUUCAAAAGUUUUGUUAUAUGACAUAAUUAAUCUUUACUGCUUUGCCACUUCUGGUGGAAUAUUUUAUUACUAUCACCAGAAGCAUUUCUUGGCUUCAAUAACACACAUACUCCAGUGUCACCUGCUUCAAGAGCACUCUACUCAUAAUUCUGACUAAUGUACAUUUCCACAUGUCUGACCCAAAGGAGGAAGAGGCAGAGCAAGACGGCUCAAUAGAAGCCUCCACUAAUUGUCCUCCCCACUGGAACACCAAAUUGAACAACUAUCCACACAAAGAAGCACCUUCGUAAGAACCAAAAAUCAGGUGCCAGACAGAAAGUCAUCUCUCUGCUCAACUGAGACAAAUGCAGAUUCAUUGAGCCAGACUAAGGCAUAAGUGACUAUUCCUCUAUGUUCCCCAACAUGUAAAUUGUGGAUUCAGUGAAAGGCUGAUUGAAGAGUCAGAAGAAUGUAACUUUUUGUCUCUUAUCUACCUGGAACCACACCUUAUCUACCUGGAACUGUCCCCUCCCCGCCCCCCCAAUCCCGCCCUGUUUUGAGUUGUCCUGCCUUUCUGGACCAAAUCAAUGCACAUCUUACACAUAUUGAUUGAUGUCUCAUAUCUCCCUAAAAUGUGUAAAAGUGAGCUGUACCCUGACCACCUUGAGCACAUGUUGCCAGGACACAGCCUCCUGAGGGUACAUCUUUAACCUUGGCAAAAUAAACUUUCUAAAUUGAUUAAGGCCUGUCUCAGACACUUUGAGUUGACAAUACACAAAAACUAAAAAGGAAGAAAUUAAAAGAUACCACCAGAGAAAAUCGCAUUCACUAAAAGGAAGACCACAAAACAACCAGAAAACAAAUAACAAAAUGGCAGGCAUAAGUCCUUACUUAUCAAAAAUAGCAUUGAAUGUAAAUGAAAUAAACUCUCC